UACGUAGGGACCGAGCGUUGUCCGGAUUCAUUGGGCGUAAAGAGCUCGUAGGCGGCCACUCAAGUCGAAUGUGAAACCUCGAGGCUUAACCUCGAGCCUGCAUUCGAUACUGGGCGGCUAGAGUCUGGUAGGGGGAUCUGGAAUUCCUGGUGUAGCGGUGGAAUGCGCAGAUAUCAGGAGGAACACCGGUGGCGAAGGCGGGAUCCUGGGCCAGUACUGACGCUGAGGGGCGAAAGCGUGGGGAGCAAACAGG
rnacentral:rRNA from 1 species